rnacentral:rRNA from 1 species
AGUGAACGCUGGCGGUAGGCCUAACACAUGCAAGUCGAACGGCAGCACAGUAAGAGCUUGCUCUUACGGGUGGCGAGUGGCGGACGGGUGAGGAAUACAUCGGAAUCUACUUUUUCGUGGGGGGUAACGUAGGGAAACUUACGCUAAUACCGCAUACGACCUACGGGUGAAAGCAGGGGAUCUUCGGACCUUGCGCGAUUGAAUGAGCCGAUGUCGGAUUAGCUAGUUGGCGGGGUAAAGGCCCACCAAGGCGACGAUCCGUAGCGGGUCUGAGAGGAUGAUCAGCCACACUGGAACUGAGACACGGUCCAGACUCCUACGGGAGGCAGCAGUGGGGAAUAUUGGACAAUGGGCGCAAGCCUGAUCCAGCCAUACCGCGUGGGUGAAGAAGGCCUUCGGGUUGUAAAGCCCUUUUGUUGGGAAAGAAAAGCAGCAGGUUAAUACCCCGCUGUUCUGACGGUACCCAAAGAAUAAGCACCGGCUAACUUCGUG